GCAUAGCUGGCUCAGUUAGUAGAGCAUCGGACUCUUGAUCUCAGGGUCAUGAGUUUGAGCCUCACGUUGGGUG
rnacentral:tRNA from 1 species